GGUCGGUUAGCUUAGUCGGUAGAGCGUGAUGCUAAUAGCUUAUGCUGUAACGUCAAGGUCGCGAGUUCGAUCCUCGUACUGACCA